rnacentral:misc_RNA from 1 species
UCGACUGUACAAUGGCUGCUCUUAUAAAGGGUAAUAUAUAUAGAAUGUUGUAUGAUUGUUGGACGUCAGUGUAUUCUUGUAUUUAUUACUUUAUUCUUGCAUAGAUGGCGCGGCUCGCGACAGUGUUUUCGCUAUUCGUAGUUGUUUUAUUUAAAUAGCUUUGGAUACAAAUAUACAUACAUACAUACAUAUUUAGUGGUUUAAAAAUGCAAA